GGUGCGCGCGGCGCUUGCAUGCCGCGUGUUUUAAAUUGACUGACGAGUUGACUGCUUGAUGACGUGACUUCGAGAUUUCAAAUAAUCUGUUAGACUGCGACACCGAGGCAACUAUGUGAAAGCGCAAAAACAUCGCCAGGAAGGCAGAGGACACGUCAGAUCUGGUACCGGAAGAUGAUGCUGUGUAGAAGCGAAAGAGACGUCUUCCCAGAGAUUUAGCAAAUCUUCAAGUGAUUCCGGAAGUGACGCUGAUCUUGAAUCGGUUCGGACCCAAGAAAACAACAUGUACGCGGAGGAACGACUAAGGCUGUGGCAGCGGAGAUACCAAUGCCGAAACUGAAUGCAAAGUCCAAGUCCACAUCGCAUUUUUCAGUUCCAACCCACAACUCCAGCAAGGGCUCGGGCUUCGGAAAGCAAUUGUCAAGUGCAGGUACUGUGUACGCUGCAGAGGCUGGAGGAAGGGCAGCAGCAUCUGACGCAGUUGGUACAAAAACUGCUUUUGUCUAAAUCGGGAGCGGCCGUUGAUGUGGAAGACCUGAGGGAGCCGUUUACCGAACCAGUGAACACCAAAUUUUCAUUCAAGGUAGAUUAAGAUACCUUCAUUCAGGGGCAAUGCAAAAAUCCUAAAACUCAUAUUGAAACCAAAUUUGACCAUUUCAGCUAAUAAUGGAGAAACUUUAUCAGCGACAUAACAGUUUUGUUGGUGCAUCUUUUUGGAUUGAAUUGCCAACAUCUUGUUGAGAAUGCAAGACAAAGUUGUAUAGGUCUGUAAAUGUACUACUUUUUGUAAGGAUGCUGAAACCAAUGUGUGUGCUGCCAAACUCUCGACACUGUUUAUUUAUAACCUUGUCUUCUAUAUUCAUAGACCCUUAAAUUUGAGUAUUCAUAUUUGCCUGUUAAUAAUUCAUAUCAACUCAUUUCUAUCAGUUUAUUGUAAAUAGCUUUUGGUAGAUUGUUCAUGUGUUUUGUGUUGAUUUUAUAUUUGAAGUAAGAUGCAAGGUCCAAUGCAAGGCUUCUGGGAAAUCUUGACCUGCCCACUAAAUCUUUGGUCGAUCAAAAGGACAAUUUUUUUACACGGAUUUAAGGGGAAAUCUACCCUAGAAAUUUCACUGCUUCAAUCAAAGGAGACAAAUUUGAACAAAAUUAAAAAUAAGAAAUGGGCAAACUCAGUAAGGAAAACAAAUUAAGGAAACUACUCUUUGUUUACAUUUUCUAGUAAAUUACUCUCGGCUAUUCAAUUUGACAAUGCUGAUGACAUCUUGAGUAGCUCUAAAUUCACUUUGUACACAAAAUUUCACAUUUUCUAACCCCCAUAGUCAAAGCAUGUUGUGUAGAAAGCUAUUCGUCAUCAGUAAUCUGAACAUACUCUGAUUAAAAGCUGUGGAAAUGUGUAACUUUAAGGAAAAUUU